rnacentral:rRNA from 1 species
UACGAAGGGGGCUAGCGUUGUCCGGAAUCACUGGGCGUAAAGGGCGCGUAGGCGGCUCAUGAAGGCUGUGGUGAAAGUCCGGGGCUCAACCUCGGAUCGGCCGUGGCGACUCGUGGGCUGGAGCACUGUAGAGGCGGGUGGAAUUCCGGGUGUAGCGGUGGAAUGCGUAGAUAUCAGGAGGAACACCAAUGGCGAAGGCAGCUCGCUGGGACGUGACUGACGCUGAGACGCGAAAGCGUGGGGAGCAAACAGG